rnacentral:rRNA from 1 species
AUGGAGGACGGCGCUGCGAGGGCGGCGGCGGUGCAGAAGCUGAUGGCGGCGAAGGCCAAGUCCGGCAAGAGCUUCUCCGACAUCGGUGCCGAGACGGGGCUCACCAACGUGUACGUCGCGCAGCUGCUACGCCGCCAGGCGCAGCUCAAGCCCGACACGGCGGCCUCGCUGCGGGCGGCCAUCCCGGCGCUCAGCGAGGAGCUCGUGGACCUCAUGAUGCAGCCCCCCUUCCGGUCCUACAACCCGGAAAUGGUCCACGAGCCCGCCAUAUACAGACUGAAUGAAGCUAUCAUGCAUUUUGGAGAGAGCAUCAAGGCAAUCAUCAAUGAGGACUUUGGUGAUGGAAUCAUGUCGGCUAUAGACUUCUACUGUACGGUCGACAAAGUUAAAGGGACUGAUGGAAAAGACCGUGUGGUGCUCACAUUUGAUGGGAAGUAUCUGCCUCACACUGAACAGAAAGCCGCGAAUAUGAUGUCGAAGUUGCCCUGCAAGGCACCUUGA